rnacentral:lncRNA from 1 species
GCCCAGUCCCCCAGAGUGGUCGUGCAGGUAUACGUUAGAAAUUUUAUUCUCUGGAGGUUGGGGCGGACUGAGAGCAGGUCUGGGGUCAUCCCUUCUCCGGCUCCUCCUGGUUGCCUUCUCGGAUCGGACUCUCCUGCUUCCGAAUCUGGUCUGGUUGCCUCUUGCUUGGCCGCGAGGAGCCCCGACGACCGAACGUGGAUAGUCGCCGCCACAGCACGGUAAUCAGAAGGCUUUCGUUCGACUUGUGAUUCGGAUGGUCCGGGGAGUUCAAGUCGAUAUCUUCGGCGCCUGAGGGGACGACGAGGCCUCUGAGCUCACCCCUACCCUCGGGAAGCCCCCUCUCACACUCCCUGGGCCCUCUUUGUGUGUCUGUGGUCUCAUCUUCCCUGCCGUCCUCAGACUCUUCCUCCUUGGACUGCUCAUCAGACAUCUCAAAGUCCUUGUCUUGGCAGCAGCCCAUGGCCCCGCGUGGCCCUGGACUCCGUGCCACCCACGCCAGCCUGCCUGCCUCCAGGCCCGGCUUUUGUGACAUCAGAUAUCCCGUCGCCCCAGCUCAGGCAGCCCCCACCCCAAGCUACCCCUCAUUCCUUUCUCCCAUCACAAAAGGCUCAGGGUCAUGGUGGGUGUUCAGCAGUUUAUUUACAAAGUGGGCACAGGGGCGUCAGGGGCUGGUGGACCCAGGCCGCUUCUUCUUUCUCCGUCUCGUUUGGAGAGCUCCUUGGGGCUGCUCCAAACCCGAGAGCUUCCGCUUGGCAGCUGCCUCCAAGGAUGCCCAAAGUUCAUCUGUCUCUGUGUCUUCUAGGGGCACCUUGUUGGGUUCUUGAGGCUCUUGGGGCUCAUCCUGGGAGGUCCUCACAUCUAUGCCCUUGGCUCCCACAUUCCCGGGCCCAACUGCUCACCUCCCAGUUGUCCCUGCCUGACAAGAGGAGGCAGUUCAAUUGAGACUUGAGAUAAACCUGCAAAAGAUGAGGGACCUUAAGGAGCCAGGCAUGCUGAGACAGAAACAUGAACGGAGGGCACAGGAGGCGGGGCCUCCACAAGACCAUGAGUUGGAGGUGGGAGAGACAACUUACCUUAUGCUCCAGACCCCGUGGAUUCUGGAUCCUGUGUAUCCUCAAGACUCUGUCCAAGCCACAGGAGGCUAGUAGAGGCUUUGAAGGGUGGCACUGCAACCCACGCACACUGCCUGCCAGCCCCUUCA